rnacentral:misc_RNA from 1 species
ACACCUCAACUCUCAUGGUCCGCCAUGAUGAGCUUGGACUUUGGGGGUCUUGCCGGCCUAGCGUCGGCUCCUCUCAAAUGGAUCAGCUUCCCAGUGUUUGGUGGCGUCACAGGUGUGAUAACUAUCUACGCUUGUGGUUUUCCGCCAUUAACCUUCAGCAAUGGAGGUUCGCUGGAGCUCACAGAUGUCUCUCCUUGGGGAGGACGGCUUCUUGAAU